UGAGGAAUAUUGGACAAUGGAGGAAACUCUGAUCCAGCCAUGCCGCGUGCAGGAUGAAUGCCCUAUGGGUUGUAAACUGCUUUUAUACAGGAAGAAACAUUUCCACGUGUGGGAACUUGACGGUACUGUAAGAAUAAGGAUCGGCUAACUCCGUGCCAGCAGCCGCGGUAAUACGGAGGAUCCAAGCGUUAUCCGGAAUUAUUGGGUUUAAAGGGUCCGUAGGUGGUUAUUUAAGUCAGAGGUGAAAUCCUGCCGCUUAACGGUAGAACUGCCUUUGAUACUGAUUAACUUGAGUUAUUGUGAAGUAGUUAGAAUAUGUAGUGUAGCGGUGAAAUGCAUAGAUAUUACAUAGAAUACCGAUUGCGAAGGCAGAUUACUAACAAUAUACUGACACUGAGGGACGAAAGCGUGGGUAGCGAACAGG
rnacentral:rRNA from 1 species